UUGAAAUUCUAAAUUUUGUAUUUUCAGGUUCUUAAUCUCAGUAAUGUAAAGAACUUAACAGACAACGCAUUACACAAACUCCUGACUACACCACGAGAUUCAAGACCAGGAUUGUUGGAUAAAAAGUCCCGUCUGAAAAAUCUCC